AGUUAACGUUGGCGGCGUGCCUAACACAUGCAAGUCGAACGCGUCCUAAGGGCAACUUUAGGAUGAGUGGCGAACGGGUGAGUAUCACGUGGGUAAUCUUCCUUCAAGUGGGGAAUAAGCUCUCGAAAGGGAGUCUAAUACCGCAUGACAUUCCGGGACACAAGUCCCGUAAUCAAAGCCGCAAGGCGCUUGAAGAUGAGCCUGCGUCCUAUUAGCUAGUUGGUGGGGUAACGGCCUACCAAGGCUUAGAUGGGUAGCCGGCCUGAGAGGGUGAACGGCCACACUGGGACUGAGACACGGCCCAGACUCCUACGGGAGGCAGCAGUGAGGAAUUUUGCGCAAUGGGGGAAACCCUGACGCAGCGACGCCGCGUGGAGGGAUGAAGGCCCUUCGGGUCGUAAACUCCUGUCAGAGGUGAAGAAUACCCGCAAGGGUUUGACGGUAACCUCAGAGGAAGCCCCGGCUAACUACGUG
rnacentral:rRNA from 1 species